CCCUUAGAUGUUCUGGGCCGCACGCGCGCUACACUGAUGCAUUCAACGAGUCUAAAACCUGCUCUGAUAGGGGUGGGUAAUCUUUUGAAUGUGCAUCGUGAUUGGGAUUGAUGAUUGCAAUUUUUCAUCUUCAACGAGGAAUGCCUAGUAAACGCAAGUCAUCAGCUUGCAUUGAUUACGUCCCUGCCCUUUGUACACACCGCCCGUCGCUCCUACCGAUUGAAUGAUCCGAUGAAUAUCAUGGAUUGAGGAUGCAAGUAGGUUAGCCUAUCUUCAUCUUCGAGAAGUGAAGUAAAUCUUAUCAUUUAGAGGAAGGAGAAGUCGUAACA
rnacentral:rRNA from 1 species